rnacentral:snoRNA from 1 species
CCCCGUGCGGCUGAUGACAGCACUGCUGCUGAGACUCCAUGAUGGCUCAGUCUCAAAGUAAACGCACUGACGCACUCUGG